rnacentral:rRNA from 1 species
UACGUAGGUGGCAAGCGUUGUCCGGAGUUAUUGGGCGUAAAGCGCGCGCAGGCGGUGCGGUAAGUCUCUGGUGAAAGCGCUCGGCUUAACUGGGCGAGGGCCGGGGAGACUGCCACGCUGGAGGGGAGCAGAGGCGAGUGGAAUUCCGGGUGUAGUGGUGAAAUGCGUAGAGAUCCGGAGGAACACCAGUGGCGAAGGCGGCCGGCUGGGGGUGACCUGACGCUGAGGCGCGAAAGCGUGGGGAGCGAACAGG